ACAGUGGUUUUCUAGGGUUCCGCAAUACACAUUGGUCUGGACCGAGAGGAAACACAUAGCAGGUUUCUGUUAUGACACGGUGGGAUAAAAGCCCGGGAGUU
rnacentral:sRNA from 2 species